GUGCCAGCCGCGGCGGUAAUACGGAGGGUGCAAGCGUUAAUCGGAAUUACUGGGCGUAAAGCGCACGCAGGCGGUCUGUCAAGUCGGAUGUGAAAUCCCCGGGCUCAACCCGGGAACUGCAUUCGAAACUGGCAGGCUUGAGUCUCGUAGAGGGGGGUAGAAUUCCAGGUGUAGCGGUGAAAUGCGUAGAGAUCUGGGAGGAAUACCGGUGGCGAAGGCGGCCCCCUGGACGAAGACUGACGCUCAGGUGCGAAAGCGUGGGGAGCAAACAGGAUUAGAUACCCUGGUAGUCCACGCCGUAAACGAUGUCUAUUUGGAGGUUGUGCCCUUGAGGCGUGGCUUCCGGAGCUAACGCGUUAAAUAGACCGCCUGGGGAGUACGGCCGCAAGGUUAAAACUCAAAUGAAUUGACGGGGCCCGCGACAAGCGGUGGAGCGAUGUGGUUAAUUCGAUGCAACGCGAAGAACUUUACCUGGUCUUGACAUCCACAGAAGUUUUCAGUAGAUGAGAAUGUGCCUUCGGGAACUGUGAGACAGGUG
rnacentral:rRNA from 1 species